rnacentral:lncRNA from 10 species
GCCAUCUGGCUGCUUCUGUACCUCUCUGGGGACUCUCAACUUCCCUGCACUGAGACACCCACACCUGGCUCUUUCUGCCCUAUAGCUCUUGCACCGUAAUGAGUCAAGGGCAGUACUGAGAUUUCACAAGUUCCCAGGCCUUCCCCAGGGGAAUUGGAGGUGCGUGUCUCCUCUGCUCUCAGUCCCCAGAUCCAGAGAGGGGUCUGCUUCUCCUUCCCUUCCCACAAGCACCAAGGCUCUCUCUUCUUCUCUCACUUCUUCUUUCAAUCCCCUCCAAAAGUUAUCUAGCCACAGGGCAAUAAGAACUGGCUUUGACUGAUUUGCAUUCUUUCAAAUAUUUUCCUGUGCUAAGACCUAAGCUGCUGGAAGUCAAAAGCAGAUUAUUUGUAUUUUUGCUCUUCUGCUGCCUAUACUAGAAGAUGGAAGAAGGAGAGGAGGAAAUGCCAGAGAAAGAAGCAUGGAUAACAUCGCAGAAUACCACACCCUACCCAGACUGUUCCAGAACAACCAGAGGCGUAGAGCCACACACUCCUCUCAGCCAGCCUGUGAGUGAGGCUGAGUUGCACUAAAGAGAUUGUGCAGGCGCCGCCAGCUUCCCAAAGGCAGACUCUUCCCACAGCUGCAAACACUCCUCUAAGAACUCACCCACCCUCGCAGCUUGACCAACGUUCUCUGCAACUUCCUAGAAGAUGAAAACAUACCCUCCAGCCCUAGCUGUUCUCAGCUGAGCCCACUGUUCCCUAGUGGAUCCGCCUUCCAAUGCCACCACCUUCCCUUCUACGAAGUCCCAGCCAGGGGAUGAACUACAGAGGCAGCCCCUUCCCCAUCACCAUUACUGUCACUGACUGGCUGUGGGCCUUCAUGCUCUUCCGGGUUCUGGUUGGACGGUAGCCAGGGAAAAUGCAGGGGGUGGGGUGCCGUGACAGGGAAGUCACCUGCAGCCCAGAUCUGCUGCGUCCCAGGGUGUGCACUAGAAAGUGAAUUGUUUCUUGUUCUUUUUUUUCUUUGUUAUAUGCUCUAGGGAAUAAAAGGAAUUUUCUUCCUUACACCCACCUCACCCCCAGCGGGACCAGACUCUUCCUGUCUGAGAUUUCCUCACUCCCUGUGGGGUUCAGGGGGUACAGACACAGGUUUUGGGGGUUUUAAUCUCUGGAAAGAAGAGAACUUGUCAGGACCUCCAAGAGACCUCCCUAAACAGAACCUGUUUUUGAAUAACCUGAGGGUAUUUCUCUAGGUCAUCCCUGAGGGCAGGGGAGGGUCAGGCUCUCGGUUUCAAAGAUAGGCUGGGGAUGGGGGGCCUACCUGGACUGGAACAGGAUGCACUUUUGAGGGUCCUGUGAGUGGUGGGCACUGGGACCUCACCUACCUGGGAGGACCCCUGUGGAGACAGUGCCAGGAGCCCCUUGUGGCCUUGCUCGGGAUCACAACCUCUGAGAAACCUUCCAGUGGGCUGGGAGAACCUGGGCCAGGAGUUACCGGUGGUGAGUGAAUGGCCCUGGCCUGAUCUGCCUGAGGCCUCACCUCCCAAGGCCUCACCUGCCCAUUCUUGAGUUGCUUACCCCCUGAAUCUCAACAAAGUCCCCGGGAAGAGAAGAGUGGCCCUGGGUGACCGCUGGGGGAUUCUUGCCAAGUGGUCAAGUUGAAACCAGGUGGGAUUUCAUGUGGAAACAUAAAGAAAGAAAACGUUUCUUUGCAUCUCAAGUCUAAGGGUGGAUUCAUGUUUGGCAAAUGUUAUCCCACCUCUCCUAUGAUUCCCAUUUUACAGAUGAGGAAAUUAAGGCUCAAGGAAAGUGAGUAACCCCCAAGUUCACUGAGUACAGUCAAACGCAGCUUUGUCUGACUACAAAGAACAUGCUUUUUCAGCCUCCCCACAUAGUUAGCAGAUAUCAGUUAGCACAAAGCUAUUUAGUGGCAGGGUCCAGGCCAACAUCUGGGACCAUGCUGGUUUCAGAAAUGGGGCGAUUCUCUCUGGAGUCAUCCUCUUGGGAACAGACUGGCCCCAGAAGUUCUUCUAGACCUGCAACUGGAUGCCCUCAGCUCUCUAAGUCACUGUCCCCCACCUGUGGAGUCGGUACAGUGAGACAGGAUUUAUCCUUCUCAUGAAAAUGUUGAGAAUGACAUGAGAAAAUGUGCACAGAAGCACUUUAGAAAUUAAAAGUGAUUGUGUUAGGCUAAUAAUGCCCCCACCGAAAUAUAUCUACAUCCUCAUUCUUGAAACUUGAGACUGUUACCUUAUAUGGCAUUAAAAAGGAUGAACCCUUACAGAUAUGAUGUGACUAAAUUAAGGAUCUUGAGACAGACAUUAUCUUGGAUUAUUUGGAUGGUCCUUAAACUCAAGCACAUGCAUCCUCAUCUGAGGGGUCAGAGGAAGAUUUUAUACACAGACACAGAGGAGAAGGAGGUGUGACCACAGAGGCAGAGCCUGGGGUGACAUGGCCACAAGCCAAGGACUACCAGCAGCCACCCCAGCUGGAGGAGGUAAGGAAUGACUUCUUGCUUGGAACCUCCAGAGAAAGCACAGCUCUGCAGGUACCUUGAUUCCAGCCCAGUGAUAUAUGUAUUAGUCCAUUUUCGCACUGCUAAUAAAGGCAUACCUGAGACUGGGUAAUUUAUUCAGGAAAGAGGUUUAGUGGACUUACAGUUACACUUGGCUGGGGAGGCCUCACAAUCAUGGCGCAAGGCAAGAAGGAGCAAGUCACAUCUUACAUGGAUGGCAGCAGGCAAAGAGAGCUUGUGCAGAGAGGAGACCCCUGUUUUAAAAACCAUGAGAUCUCAUCAGACUCACUCACUAUCAUGAGAACAGCAGGGGAAC